rnacentral:rRNA from 1 species
CUGCGCCACAAGUGGCAAUCGUUAUUAUUGGGCCUAAAGCAUCCGUAGCCGGCGCUGUAAGUUUUCGGUUAAAUCUGUACGCUCAACGUACAGGCUGCCGGGAAUACUGCAGCGCUAGGGAGUGGGAGAGGUAGACGGUACUCGGUAGGAAGGGGUAAAAUCCUUUGAUCUAUUGAUGACCACCUGUGGCGAAGGCGGUCUACCAGAACACGUCCGACGGUGAGGGAUGAAAGCUGGGGGAGCGAUCCGGAUUAGAUACCCGAGUAGUCC